ensembl:misc_RNA Y_RNA Y RNA
GGCUGGUCCAAAGGUACUGAGUUAUCUCAAUUGAUUGUACCCACGUCAGUUACAGAUCUAUUUCCCUGUUCUACUCUUUUCUGUCUUCUCACACAUGCUCUUAACUAGUCUUAC